rnacentral:rRNA from 1 species
AUGGAGGCUUGUGCGGGCCAAGCUAGCAGCGCGCACAUCGUUCUGGUGCACGGCGCAUGCCUCGGCGGCUGGUCCUGGUUCAAGGUGGCGACGCGGCUCAGGUCCGCCGGGCACCGCGUCAGCACGCCUGACCUGGCGGCGUCCGGCGUCGACCCCAGGCCGCUGCGCGAGGUGCCGACGUUCCGCGACUACACCAAGCCGCUGCUGGACCUCCUGGAGUCCCUCCCGCCCGGCGAGAAGGUGGUGCUCGUCGGCCAUAGCCUCGGCGGCGUGAACAUCGCCCUCGCCUGCGAGCUGUUCCCGGAGAAGAUCGCCGCUGCGGUGUUCGUCUCCGCCUUCAUGCCGGACCACAGGUCGCCGCCGUCGUACGUGCUUGAGAAGUUCGUGGAGGGGAGAACGCUGGACUGGAUGGACACGGAGUUCAAGCCUCAAGAUCCCGAGGGCAGGCUGCCUACUUCCAUGCUGUUCGGGCCGCUGGUCACUCGAGCAAAGUUCUUCCAGCUGUGCUCGCCGGAGGACCUGACGCUGGGAAGGUCCCUGAUGAGGGUCAGCUCCAUGUUCGUGGACGACCUGAGGCUGCAGCCGCCCUACACCGAGGCCCGCUACGGGUCCGUGCGCAAGGCGUACGUCGUCUUCAAGGACGACCACGCCAUCGUCGAGGGGUUCCAGCGGUGGAUGGUGCACAACUACCCCGUGGAUGAGGUGAUGGAAAUCGACAGCGCGGACCACAUGGCGUUGCUCUCGACGCCGACCGAGCUGGCGCGCUGCCUCGCUGACAUCGCCGACAAGUAUGCUGCUUGA